rnacentral:misc_RNA from 1 species
GGGAAUUGUGACUACCAAGGAAUUUGUGUCUAAGCUGGAACUCAAGACUGGUCAGAAAGUCCUCGAUGUUGGAUGUGGCAUUGGGGGCGGAGACUUUUAUAUGGCUGAAGAGUUUGAUGUUGACGUGGUUGGCAUUGACCUUUCCAUAAAUAUGGUUUCUUUUGCUCUCGAACGUGCCAUUGGGCGCAAGUGCUCUGUUGAGUUUGAGGUAGCCGACUGCACCAAGAAAACUUAUCCAGAUAACACAUUUGAUGUGAUCUACA